CAGAGUUUUGCGAAGACGAUGGAACUCUAGAAAUGAAAGGGAACGAUGAAUCAAUCUACACGUUUUGACCUAAAAAUGGUAAAGAAAACUUGACCUCAAAUAUCGCUUACCGCUUAGAACAAAUUUGCUCUAGUGUGGUGAUUUAUGGAAAGAAAAAUGAUAACGGCGGCUGCAAAAUGCGCUUAUAGACAGGAUGGAGAGCAUUUGGACAAUCCGCCAGGACAAAAAAAACGUGGAAUAUCGUCGUGGAUCAGUGGGCCCUGAUCGACUUCCUUUGGUGCCAGUAGUAAAUAUGUCACCUAGUCUGAGAGUUGGUCAGAAAGAGUACUAGUGCCGACAUGGAAGUUACAAUGAUAUUUCCUUUCAACAUCCGCAAUAAAUUCGGUGACAUGAAGAUUACAAGAUUACUAUGGAUUUCGUGGGAGAUGAGUGAUUUCGUGAAAGAUGACCACCUCAAGAAACCAUCUUGGAUAGAAAGCAAAAAUUAGAGAUUGUUGGUCAAUGGCAGUUUUUAAGUAUUUGUAAACUGUCUACCUUGUGGUAACAACAUCUUGCAAUACGCAUGUGUCUUGAGACAGAUGUUUGGUUACAAAAGAUGCAUGCGUUUGAAAUAAACGUCACUACCACAAGGUAGACAAGUUGUUGAACGAUUUAAAAAAGUGGACCCCAGAGGCGGGUGUGGUGGGGGAGGUCGGAUGGAGAAAAAAAAACUGUAUCAGAUGAGUGUAAUAUUACUGUAUUAUAAUGUAAGAAAGAGAUUGUAAUAUUACCAUUGU
rnacentral:lncRNA from 1 species